AUGGGGAUCAGAAUCUUGAUUGGGCUCGGGGCGGCCGUGACCCUGCUGGAGUCCAGGGGGGACCUCCAGCCCCCCGGGGGGUCCCUGCGCCUCCUCUGCCACAGCUCCGUCUUCGAUUUCGGGAGUUACUCCAUGUACUGGGUCCGCCAGAGACCUGGGCAGGCGCUGGAGUGGCUCGCGGGGUUCAGCAGCAGUGGCAGCACCUGGUACGCGCCGUCGUUCAAGGGCCGGUUCACGAUCUCCAGGGACAACGGGCAGAGCUCGGUGACGCUGACCAUGAGCAGCCUCAAGGACGAGGAUUCCGGAUCCUAUUUCUGCGCCAAAAAUGCUGGUGCUGCUCCUAAUCAUGCAUAUGCUAUUGUCCCCAUCCCCAUCACUUUGUCCCCCUGUGCCCGUGCCCCAGCCCCUUCCCUGCAGCCCCUGGCUCCAUUCCUGCCCCUCUGUCCCACCCUGGCGCUGCUCUGGCCCCAAAUCGCAGCUCCUGGCCCCAAAUCAGGGCCGGGGGCACCCUGA